CCAGGAGACCUAGAGGGUGAGAUUGGUUCGAGCCGGAGGCGGGAGCGCCAAGCGCCGUGGGCCCAGAGCGCCGAUUUUGAGUUUCUUGAGCCCUUGUUGAUGGUUGCCUCCAGGAAUAUGCCCAGGAGUGGGAUUGCUGGAUCAUAUGGUGGGAGGGUACAUUUACUCUCUGUUCUUCACCUUGGAUGGAAGCAGGAUUCUCAACAUGCCUUUCAGCGCCAUCUGUAUGCUAAUGACCCGCACAUUCACUCCGACCUUCAAAGUCUUAUAUCCAACUUGGAAUAAUCAUGGCUAAGACCUCAAACUCACCGGAUCCAAAAUGGAACUCCUGAUUCUCCUCUCACCAGAUCUCUCCUUCCUGUCUUCCUCAUCCCAGGAAAUAUUCAUCCAGAUGUUAAUUUUAUCCUCUUUUCUUCUGUUUCCCUCAUAUCCUAUGCCAGCAUCUCAGAAACUCCUUUUGGCUUGACCUGCAAGAUGUAUCUUAAAUCUGAGACACUUUCAUUACCUCCACUACUGAUUAAAGUCACCAUCAUCACUCAUCUGGAAUCUUGCAGUAUGAAUAAACUGAGGCUCAGAGAGAGGUCAAGUGAAUUGAAGUCACACAGCACACAAGUGGCAAAGCCGGUGGUGGGCUGGUCAGCGUUUAACAAUCAGCUCUCCAAACAGACAAACAAAAGCCUCAAUUUGUGGUGUUUGCCAAUUUCUGUGGUGUAAAUACUCCUGCCGAAUUUCAAGCUACCAACACGCUUCACUGAACUUGAAGCUGGGAAGGGAUGCUCACAAUCGACCCUUGUCAGCAGGUAUGAGCCAACUUCAGAACAUCAUGAGGCAAAGUUGAGAUUCAAACCCCGCCCUGUUCGAUGCGGACCAACUGGCAUUCUAUUUUAGAUUCCUGAAACCUGGUAUUAAGCGGAAAAAAAGCAGGGUACAUAGGGCAUGUAUCAAGGGGGAAAAAGAAUACGGAAACAUACAAAAGAAUAUACGCUUAUGAAUGUAUAUCUUGGCUUGUUUGUGUGAAUCUUGAAUGAUUUGCCAGACUGAUAACACUGAGUUUUUCCUAGAAGGGGAGCUAAGUGUCUGGAUGACAGGGAGGGAGAGAGAUUACUUAGGGUAUUCUUUAUACUCUUUGAAUUUUGAACCAUGUGAGUAUAUUAACCAUUCAAAAAAAAAAAAAGAAUCAACAAAAAAUAAAACCAGACAAGCAACCAAUCGCAAACAGACGCUGGGCCUGCGGCUCUGUGCCAGGCUGGUCUGUGGGCCUGGGGCCGGGCAGGGUGUGCUGGGUGGACUGCUCUGUCUUUUGGCAGCCCUUGGACUGUGCUGCUGGGCAGGUGGGGCAAGUCGAGAGACUAUCGUCUUCUCAGAGUGUGAGGGAUGGUUGCACUUGCUUUAAUUCUCGUCUGUGCAUCUUGGUCACUGAGACCACGGCACUGCGCUCUAAACUCAAUUAGAAAUUUAACAAACCUUAUAAAUCCUCCCCAGCCUGGGCCUUGUAAAUCUCCAGAGCGAGGCUGGCUUAACACUUCUCUAUCUCUGGCUUAAUGACCUCCCUGGCCCGGCCUGGGAAUGAUUCAGGGCCAGCGAAAGGUCUAAUUAGUGAACACAAGCUGCAUCCCAGGCGAGGGGAGGAGGAAGAGCGACUGGGUCCCCGCCCUGGGGACACUAGGGAGGUGAGUCCCAGCCCUGGACAAGGAGGGUGAAGCAGGUGCCUGAUUGACCUUCACUGUUAACACAGCCCUGUUGUGUCUCCCGCACUGCACUUCGUUGUUCAGGGAGGGCUGUUGUGUGAUGUGCCACUUAUAACACUGUUGCAUCGAGAGCCCUGUGGGGCCCAUGGAGUCUCCCGGCAAGACAGCACAUUUGUGGGCAGGUUUUGAGGCUGUGUUGACAGCCUGUGGUGGGCGUGGGAGGUUUUGACGGUGGGUUCUCAUCUCCCGUGCCUGAGGGAAUUGUGUUCCAGAGCAAUGUAUGUGAAAUAACAGGGAGUCCAGAGAGCCUCAUUUUUAAGGGUGUACAUCUCAGCUUUAGUGAGAAGAUGGAUCUUUCCAGCCAAGCUGACCUAUCCUUGUGAGUUAAUGAGCUCCCCGUCAGUAGAAAGACAGCCCAGGAUCCUCCACCAUUAACGGAGCCCAAGCUGUGUGCCGGGCUCCUUACACAUCAUCUGAUGCUGUCUUCCGGCCCCAUC